CGGCGCGGGGCGCCCACCCAUCCCCAUCUCAACUUCUCUAGCGCUGGUUCAAGAACAGAGGGUUGUUCGUCGCCCCUUCUCUCCCUCCCACCACCACCCCCCUUGAUCUACUCCAUUAACCGCUCAAACUCGCAGAUCUGACCCCCCCAAGCUUCUUUGAGGAUGGCGGAUGAUGAUGGACCUUGGUAUGCCGGAUUAAUCGAUGAGUGGGAUAAGGAGCAUCGUGCUCGUGCCAUUGAGAAGGGAGAUCUUGUAGUUGCUAUGCGCAUGAGGGGUCAUUUCGCUGAUGACUUUACUUACGACCCGCGGUACGAGCCUUACAUUCGGAGAUUGGGUCUUCUCCCAUUCGUGUUGCAGUUUAAGCGACGCGCUCCGCCGGUGAACCACGCGGCGCUGAUCGCACUUGUGAAUCGUUGGAGGCCGGAGACUCACUCGUUCCACCUUCCAUGUGGGGAGAUGACGAUGACCCUACAGGACAUGGCUAUGAUAAGCGGCCUUCCUAUCAACGGACAAGCUGUUACCAUGUGGGGGGAAAUCUGUGGACUUGUUGUCGUUUGUAUGCAAGAAUUUGUCGUGGUGAAAAUUCUGUGAAAUGUGCUACCUUCUGUGUUCUAUGAACCUGACAUAUUAUUAUGAAUUCUGUGAACCUGUGUAUGCAAGAAGUGAGCUUGUUGUAGUUUGUUUCAAUGAGUUUGUUCUAGUUUGUUUCGAUGAACUUGGUGUAGUCUUUUUCCAUGAACUUGUUGUCGUUUCUUUCCAUGAACUUGUUGCCGUUCGAAUUAAG